rnacentral:rRNA from 1 species
AACACGUGGGGAACCUGCCCCAUAGUCUGGGAUACCACUUGGAAACAGGUGCUAAUACCGGAUAAGAAAGCGGAUCGCAUGAUCAGCUUUUAAAAGGCGGCGUAAGCUGUCGCUAUGGGAUGGCCCCGCGGUGCAUUAGCUAGUUGGUAAGGUAAAGGCUUACCAAGGCGAUGAUGCAUAGCCGAGUUGAGAGACUGAUCGGCCACAUUGGGACUGAGACACGACCCAAACUCCUACGGGAGGCAGCAGC